CGUUCCCGGGCCUUGUACACACCGCCCGUCACACCAUGGGAGUUUGUUGCACCAGAAGCAGGUAGCUUAACCUUCGGGAGGGCGCUUGCCACGGUGUGGCCGAUGACUGGGGUGAAGUCGUAACAAGGUAGCCGUAUCGGAAGGUGCGGCUGGAUCACCUCCUUUUGAGC
rnacentral:rRNA from 1 species